CCCCACUGCUAUCGGGGUGGGACUAAAACAUGCAAGUCGAGCGCCUCCAAGCUAUGGUGAAGGCGCGGCAAACGGCUCAGCAACACGUGGCCAACCUACCCUUGGGACGGAGACAACCCCGGGAAACUGGGGCUAAUCCCCGAUAAGUAAGGAAUCCUGGAAUGGAUCUUUGCUGAAAGGGCGUCUGGACCAUGCUUCUUGACGUCGCCCAAGGAUGGAGCCGCGACCGAUCAGGUAGUUGGCGAGGCAACGGCUCACCAAGCCUAUAACCGGUACGGGCCGUGAGAGCGGGAGCCCGGAGAUGGGCACUGAGACAAGGGCCCAGGCCCUACGGGGCGCAGCAGUUGCGAAAACUCCGCAAUGCGCGAAAGCGUGACGGGGCUACCCCGAGUGCCGCCCGUUGAGGGCGGCUUUUCCACGGUGUAAGGAGCCGUGGGAAUAAGGAGAGGGCAAGACUGGUGUCAGCCGCCGCGGUAAUACCAGCUCUCCGAGUGGUGGGGACGAUUAUUGGGCUUAAAGCGUUCGUAGCCGGCUUAACAAGUCUUCCGUUAAAUCCAACGAUCUAAUCGUUGGGCUGCGGGAGAUACUGUUGGGCUAGGAGGCGGGAGAAGCCGACGGUAUUCUCGGGGUAGGGGUGAAAUCCUGUAAUCCCGGGAGGACCACCAGUGGCGAAGGCGGUCGGCUAGAACGCGCUCGACGGUGAGGGACGAAAGCUGGGGGAGCGAACCGGAUUAGAAACCCGGGUAGUCCCAGCUGUAAACGAUGCGGGCUAGGUGUUGGGGUGGCCACGAGCCACUUCAGUGCCGCAUGGAAGCAAUUAAGCCCGCCGCCUGGGGAGUACGGCCGCAAGGCUGAAACUUAAAGGAAUUGGCGGGGGAGCACCACAAGGCGUGAAGCUUGCGGUUU
rnacentral:rRNA from 1 species